rnacentral:rRNA from 1 species
GACGAACGCUGGCGGCGUGCCUAAUACAUGCAAGUAGAACGCUGAAGGAGGAGCUUGCUUCUCUGGAUGAGUUGCGAACGGGUGAGUAACGCGUAGGUAACCUGCCUGGUAGCGGGGGAUAACUAUUGGAAACGAUAGCUAAUACCGCAUAAGAGUAGAUGUUGCAUGACAUUUGCUUAAAAGGUGCAAUUGCAUCACUACCAGAUGGACCUGCGUUGUAUUAGCUAGUUGGUGGGGUAACGGCUUACCAAGGCGACGAUACAUAGCCGACCUGAGAGGGUGAUCGGCCACACUGGGACUGAGACCCGGCCCAGACUCCUACGGGAGGCAGCAGUAGGGAAUCUUCGGCAAUAGACGGAAGUCUGACCGAGCAACGCCGCGUGAGUGAAGAAGGUUUUCGGAUCGUAAAGCUCUGUUGUAAGAGAAGAACGAGUGUGAGAGUGGAAAGUUCACACUGUGACGGUAUCUUACCAGAAAGGGACGGCUAACUACGUG